rnacentral:lncRNA from 1 species
UGAGUUUCCUAACUCUCAUCUCUUUCAAGCACACAUACAAAGUCAGGCCUCUGUUUCUUUCUCUGUUAUAUUGCUUUCUAAACUGUUUCUUUCUCUGUUAUAUUGCUUUCUAUUUUAUUUGUUUUCUCUCUCUAAUCCUAAUUAACAUUUGUUGAUUAUCUCUAAUCAAUUUUUUUUCUUCCUCAUUUUUUCUUUCAAACACUGGAAUACCGACUGGAAUUUUGUCUCUGGAUAUGAUCGUUUCUGUGGGAAUCUGAAUUUGGUUAUCGUUUCUGUGGGAAUCUGAAUUUGGUUUUUUUUCUUUCAUUUUCAAAUUGUGUUAUUUGUCCGAAUCGAUCGAUCCUUUCGGAGAAACCUGAGCUGGAUAUCAAAAUCUGUGAAUUGUGAACAAAAUAUAUGUAACCUUUAUCAUUAUUAUUUUUCUCAAAUAUUCUUUGAGAUUUUUUAUUAUUAUAGAUUAGGUAGUACCUUAAAAAAAUAAUAAUAAUAAUAAUAGGGUUUUGUUUUGUUUUCUUCUUGGGUCUAGUUUCAACACGUUAGAUUCUUCUUGGGGUACCCCUCUUUACGUUUUGGCCACUGGCAGUAGGCCACGUAAGCUUAUUCCUCGUGGACUUGGUGCUAUUUAAUUUGUACACGAUGAAACGAAAUUCUCCAAACUAUUCCCUUCACUGUGUUCUUCUUUGAAUUUCCUUAGUCUUCUGGUUCUUUUUAAAAAAAAAUAUAUAUAUAUAUAAAUAGUUUAUGUAUCAUUUUCUUGUUAGAUUACCUCUUCAAAAUCCACAAACACUCGGAUCUCGAUCGGUACAUGACUCGUAUAUAUGCUUUGAUGAUAUAAAAAGAUUGGCAGUCGUUGUUUGCGGGCGUAGCAUCAUCAAGAUUCACGCACAUGCAAUUAACUUGAAAGUUUCUCUCUUUGCCAAAGUUUCUUUCAAAGUGAGAAUCUUGAUGAUGCUGCAUCGGCAAUAAACCACUAUACAAACGAGAAGACUCUUUCUCUCUCUCUCUCUCUCUCACAGUCUCACCAGUCUUUCACAGUCUCACCAGUCGCCAAGGCAACUUUUUUCACUUCAUUGAUUUCCUGCUUUCUAGUGUUAGGGGAGGGGUUCUUUUUAAAUUUGUUGCUUCCUAUUUUUAGGUGUUAUUUUCCUUCAAUAAUUAAGGCAGCUCAUAUCAUUGGAGAAGGGUGUGUAUGUGUUGUUAUAUAUAUGGCUCCUCAUUAACUCUGCUCUGCUGACUUUUGACAGAUCUGUGAUUAUUCUUCUGAGAAAAGCUGAGUGAUUGAGUCUGUUUAUGGAGAGAGAGAGAGAGAGAGACUUGAGCCUCGAUGAUGCUGCAAAGCCUUUUAAAGCAUUUUGAAAAGGUGAAUAUCUUCAAACCAUUUAUAAAUAUUUCACAUGAAGGUAAAUUUUGUUGGAACCAUUUUUUUUGGGUCGGUUUUCAGUUCUAGUUCAGAUCCACACAUGAACUGUCCGGAUCGUUUGGUACAGAAUCCAAAAACUAUGUUUUUUUCAUUUCAAAUAAGGAGUGCAUUUUGAUUUUAACAACAAUAUUGGCUCUUUGGUAUAUAGUUUCUAAUUAAUAAAGAAUAAAAUAACUCAGAAACAACCCGGUUUCGGAAGAUGCAAAGGUAUUGUUUUCAAAAUUGAAGAAGCUCACUACUAGAAAAUGCCUCCCCUUUCAUAAAAGACGGAUGCAGAAAGGUGAGAAAGAAACAGUAAGAUCAGUACGUAGGUUAUCCAUGGGAUGUGCGGGAAAAGAAACAGUACUAAUGAUCUGGUGUAAGAUAUGCAGCUGAAGCUGAGAAAGAAGUAAAUCUUAAUUAGGGUGUGGGGGGCGGCUAGCUGUUUGAUGCCUGUUUGAUUGAAAAACUUAAUAAUUGUUUGAUGAACAAUGUUCCAAGUGGUUUCGAUCUCUAGCUGUGGAAUCAGUACUUCAUUGAAAAUGGGAACUUCGAUAUGUAAAAUCGUGGUGGGAACUUGUCACAAAAUGUCACAUUGUGACUGCCUGCCAUUCUUGUCCUUGUCUCUACACUUUGUUUGUGCGGACCAAACCAAGAGAGUGAUCAUCUCUCCCAACUUGGACCCUUCGACAUGUAACCUCACACUCUCCCUUUCAUCUCAUCACUCCUUUCAAAGACAUAAUAUUAUUCACUCCACCUCUUCAAUAAUACUUCACACGUGAUAAUUCAGACCAUGGAGAUCUGUGUGCCUCUAUCACUAUCCAUGCCUUUUUGAUUCACAUAUGCAUCCAUUAUUUUUUUCGGUAAUUAUGAGGAAGAACAUAACUCGUGACCUCUUAUCCGUUAAGGUAAACUUUGUGUACUUACAAUCGCUCUAAACCCCAUUUGUAGUUUAAAUUUGAGUGUCGUGAAGCUUUUGAACAUAGGAUUUAUCUGAUUAUACAUAAUGCUAGGACCACUGGUUUCUUAAUAUUUACUCCUGAGGUAGGAGGGCAUGAUUUCCUGUUUAUUAGAUAACUUCCAUAAGACUAGAUGUUUUCUAAUAUGGCACUGCUCUUAGUCGUCUGAACGCUAAACAGUAUUCAAAUUGUCGAGGUCCAAAAAUUAUUUUUACUUAUCAAAUUAAUUUGCCUCUCUUUUCGUUUUGGAGAGGUUUUAAAAAUGCAUCUCCGUACUUUACUACUUUAGAAUCGUCUCAUAAUUUAUAGAUAUGUAGUUUGAAUUUAGUUUUCCAUAUAGUUGCAAUCGUACUUUGAAUUUAUCUUCCUGACUCUAGUAUUUUACAGAGGCUGUUUGGUGUGGACGUCUCUGCACCGGAUAUUGUAAGAGGACGGUCGAUUGGCAGUACAUAGUUCUCUUAUAGUUCUGUGCAGACGUUCACAUGUAAACAGUUUUACACGUAGAAUAUUUUGAAAACCCUUCAUACAUUCGUUACAGAUACAAAUAUAUGAACAGAUACGUGCCGUAUAUGCAUCCACACCAAUAAAAUAUUAUAUUUUUCCUUACGAUUGGAUACACAAAAAUACUUCUGUAUGGACUCACAUUUGUACGACUAGUGAGAUGCAUGAGAACUAGUGAGAUGCAGCUCUAGAGAAAUUUCUGGACAAAAUUCUGAGUGGAUCUCUUGAUUUAAUUUUCGUUUGGAAAUCAA